rnacentral:rRNA from 1 species
UGUCGAUUUGGAGGUUGUUCCCCUUGAGGGAGUAGCUUCCGGAGCUAACGCGUUAAAUCGACCGCCUGGGGAGUACGGCCGCAAGGUUAAAAUUCAAAUGAAUUGACGGGGGCCCGCACAAGCGGUGGACCAUGUGGUUUAUUUCGAUGCAACGCGAAGACCCUUACCUACUCUUGACAUCCAGAGAACUUUCCAGAGAUGGAUUGGUGCCUUCGGGAAUUCUGAGACAGGUGCUGCAUGGCUGUGGUCAGCUCGUGUUGUGAAAUGUUGGGUUAAGUCCCGCAACGAGCGCAACCCUUAUCCUUUGUUGCCACCGGUCCGGCCGGGAACUCAAAGGAGACUGCCAGUGAUAAACUGGAGGAAGGUGGGGAUGACGUCAAGUCAUCAUGGCCCUUACGAGUAGGGCUACACACGUGCUACAAUGGCGCAUACAAAGAGAAGCGACCUCGCGAGAGCAAGCGGACCUCAUAAAGUGCGUCGUAGUCCGGAUUGGAGUCUGCAACUCGACUCCAUGAAGUCGGAAUCGCUAGUAAUCGUAGAUCAGAAUGGUACGGUGAAUACGUUCCCGGGCCUUGUACACACCUCCCGCCGCACC